rnacentral:rRNA from 1 species
GACGAACGCUGGCGGCGUGCCUAAUACAUGCAAGUCGAACGAGAGCGCCCGGUGCUUGCACUGGUCAAUCUAGUGGCGAACGGGUGAGUAACACGUGGGUAACCUGCCCAUCAGAGGGGGAUAACAUCCGGAAACGGAUGCUAAAACCGCAUAGGUCUUCGAGCCGCAUGGCUUGAAGAGGAAAAGAGGCGCAAGCUUCUGCUGAUGGAUGGACCCGCGGUGCAUUAGCUAGUUGGUGAGGUAACGGCUCACCAAGGCCGUGAUGCAUAGCCGACCUGAGAGGGUGAUCGGCCACAUUGGGACUGAGACACGGCCCAAACUCCUACGGGAGGCAGCAGUAGGGAAUCUUCCGCAAUGGACGCAAGUCUGACGGAGCAACGCCGCGUGAGUGAAGAAGGUUUUCGGAUCGUAAAACUCUGUUGUUAGAGAAGAACAAGUGCUAGAGUAACUGUUAGCGCCUUGACGGUAUCUAACCAGAAAGCCACGGCUAACUACGUG